rnacentral:rRNA from 1 species
AUACGUAGGGUGCGAGCGUUAAUCGGAAUUACUGGGCGUAAAGCGUGCGCAGGCGGUUAUGCAAGACAGAUGUGAAAUCCCCGGGCUCAACCUGGGAACUGCAUUAGUGACUGCAUAGCUAGAGUGCGGCAGAGGGGGAUGGAAUUCCGCGUGUAGCAGUGAAAUGCGUAGAUAUGCGGAGGAACACCGAUGGCGAAGGCAAUCCCCUGGGCCUGCACUGACGCUCAUGCACGAAAGCGUGGGGAGCAAACAGGAUUAGAUACCCUGGUAGUCCACGCCCUAAACGAUGUCAACUGGUUGUUGGGGAUUUACUUCCUCAGUAACGAAGCUAACGCGUGAAGUUGACCGCCUGGGGAGUACGGCCGCAAGGUUAAA